rnacentral:rRNA from 1 species
AUUGAACGCUGGCGGCGUGCUUAACACAUGCAAGUCGAUCGGUAACAGGUGUAGCAAUACAUGCUGACGAGAGGCGGACGGGUGAGGAACGCUUGGGAAUCUGCCUAUCAGCGGGGGACAACCCGGGGAAACUCGGGCUAAUACCGCAUACGCUCUACGGAGGAAAGUCGGGGACCGCAAGGCCUGGCACUGAUAGAUGAGCCCAAGUCGGAUUAGUUAGUUGGCGGGGUAACGGCCCACCAAGGCGACGAUCCGUAGCUGGUCUGAGAGGACGAUCAGCCACACCGGAACUGAGACACGGUCCGGACUCCUACGGGAGGCAGCAGUGGGGAAUAUUGGACAAUGGGGGAAACCCUGAUCCAGCGACGCCGCGUGGGUGAAGAAGGCCUGCGGGUUGUAAAGCCCUUUCGGUAGGGAAGAAAUCUCUUGCUCUAACAAAGCAGGAGUUUGACUUAACCUACAUAAGAAGCACCGGCUAACUCUGUGCCAGCCGCCGCCGUAAUAC